CUGCCAUUUUUUUUCAACAGUCUUACCAGUGAUUGAAGCUCCCAGAGUUGCUAACAACUUGACGAUGGCAUAAUUUUCUGAUUAUAAGGUGAAUAAAGGCAAGUGGAUGAUGUGAGAUUAUUUGGAUUCUUUCACUCCUUAUUGUGACAAUUCAAUUGAUUGACAACGAUAGGAGACUAAUCCAGAAGAAAAGCUAAUAUGGGUUUCUUUUUCUUUUCUUUUCUUUUUUGGAAGCCCUUAGGUCACAGCUCUUUGCAUGAGCUUGGGUUGUCAAAGAACCAGAUGAGUUUUUGAUUUUUGAGUGGGCGAUGAUUGCUUGAUAUUCAACUAGCAGGGUAAAUUACAUCAAGUGUUUUGUGAAUUUGUGGAUAGUUUUAACUGGGUCUAUUAUAUUUUUUGACAGUGAUAAAUUUAAUUAUAAUUAUAUUGAAAUUCAGAAAUAGAUGAUUGCAGAUAUUUUGGUUCUAAAGCUGUCGGUGGAGAUGGUGAAGUUGAAGGAUAUUCAAGAUUGCUACAGUGAAGAUGUGGUGGGAUUUAAAGAUAGGGUUUGUGAAAUCAAUGUAUUUGUACGGCAUUGACAACAUAAGAUAUGGUGAUGUACGUAUUCAUUAUUUAUAGGUGAAAUGGUAUUACUUGUUACUUCUCUUUCUUACCAUAAAUUGAAAUGCCAAUUGCACGGAUUUGGGUUGAGUUUCACCAUCUCUAUAUACAAGUAUUUGUAUAUAUUUAAACAUAUUCAACUCCAUCCAUCAACACUAACUUACUAUUUCAAAAAAAAAAAAAAGAUCGGAUUCGGAC
rnacentral:lncRNA from 1 species